GACGAACGCUGGCGGCGUGCUUAACACAUGCAAGUCGAACGGAAAGGCCUGUCCUUCCUUGUGUUGGACGGGUACUCGAGUGGCGAACGGGUGAGUAACACGUGAGUGAUCUGCCCCCAACUUGGGUAUAAGCCUGGGAAACUGGGUCUAAUUCCCGAUAGGACUGCAGGGUGGUGCCUGUGGUGGAAAACGAUUUUCCAGUGGUUGGGGAUGAGCUGGCGGCCUAUCAGCUUGUUGGCGGGGUAAUGGCCUACCAAGGCGGCGACGGGUAGCCGGCCUGAGAGGGUGGGCGUCGUCAGUGGGACUGAGAUACGGCCCAAGCUCCUGCGGGAGGCAGCAGUGGGGAGUAUUGCACGAUGGGGGGAAGGCUGAGGCAGCGACGCGGCGUUGGGGAUGACGGCCUUCGGGUUGUAAACUCCUUGCGACCGCGAGGAAGCCGCCUGGUUGGAAGGGUGGUGACGGUAGUGGUAGAAGAAGCACCGGCUAACUACGUG
rnacentral:rRNA from 1 species